AAUGAACGUUGGCGGCAUGGAUUAGGCAUGCGAGUCGGGGGAAUCCCAGCAAUGGGGGAAUCGGCGUAAGGGGCAGUACGGCUUGGGUACCUACCUAGGGGUUCGGGAUAGCCAUCAGAGAUGGUGGGUAAUACCGGAUGACGUCGUGAGCCCAAGGAUAUAUCGCCCUUUGAGGGGCCCAUGUGUUAUUAGCUCGUUGGUGGGUUAACGGACAACCAAGGCGAAGAGGUCUAGCGGGUGUGAGAGCACGACCCGCGCCACUCGCACUGGGACACUGGCGAGACACCUACGGGUGGGUGCAGGGGAGGAUGUUCGUCAAUGAGCGCAAGCUUGACCGAGCGAUGCCGGGUGAGCGAUGAAGGCCUUCGGGUUGGAAAGCUCUUGAGUGGGGGAAAAAAGCCGCAAGGUGUGAUCUAUCCCAAAAAUAAGCACGGGCUAAGUUCGUGCCAGCAGCCGCAGUAA
rnacentral:rRNA from 1 species